AGAGAGCAAAAGCCUCAUUUUUUCCCGUCAAAAGCAGCCAUGAGCAACUUGGAAUUUCUAUCUUUAGAAUGAACCAAAGGAGGUAGGAGCCGGACCUAGCGAAGGAGCUGGCGACCCAUUUACUUCUUGAAAGAAAGAUGGCACAGUGUUUGGAAAGGCUGCUUGCCAGAGGCGCUGAGAGGAUUAGAUCGGGCUGACCACUUCCUGCAGAAGGGAGGACCACGUCACCUGGUCACGGAGUGUCACUCCCCAUUACAGCUGCAGGAAGCCACAGCUCACACCAGGAGUUGCCAUGCCCUGGGGCCAUUGCCAACACUCACCGAUGACGAACAUCCUGGCUGAGGGAUGUUACACUCCAAAAGGAUUUGCUAGCACCUUCAAAGAGAAAAGAAAAAGGAGCAAGAAGAAAGAUGUUCUAAGGAAGGACCACGUAAAUACAUUAAGAGUGUUCAUGAUGGGGGUUGGUAAGUGGGAGUGCACAGUGCGGGGACCUGUUCAUGUUAGAGAAGCUGAGGAAUUUAGGUCAGAUGGAUUGAGCAGCUGUGGGCUGCUACUCACUCCAGGUUUCCUCAUCAGCCUGACUCAUACUCUAACAUUUCUAGAGAAAGGCCUGUCAGUGGGGAAAGUAUAGGGAAAUUGGGAGGAUGAAAAGGCUGGCAUCAGGAAGAAUAGGGAGAAGGCCAUGCCAGGGUUCCAGGUAUGACCAUAGAUGGGAUCUGUAAAAAGUUUGUGCAAAAAUCCUGGUUACCUGUGACUCGUGUUGAGUUAACCUUCCAUGACACCAAUGAGGAGGUGAGAGAGGUUAACUCAGCCAGAAAGGGCCAAAGGAGGGGGGAUUUGUACCGGGUUCUGUCUCACCAGACAACAUGAAUUAUGAUUUUUUUUAAUUGAAAAUAAUAAAUUCUAUUUCUAGUUUGUUUGUAUUUAGGGAUCGGAAGUACAUGCAACAGGAAGUGACUGCAACAUGGUGAAUGGAGGCUGAAGCGAAGGUGAAUGAGAUGCAUGUUGGAGGUGUGGCUGUGGUCGUUUUCUGUGAUAAUUGAUGAUUCAUCUCCACCAGAUGAGUUGAAACCUGUUCAGAGGAUGUUAACGUGAUGUUACAAAAAAGGAGAUAUGUUUUGUGGUUACUUGUAAGAACCAAAUAAUCACUUGGAGGUUUGGUAUUUGUGAGAUGAACCCUGAGUAGCCCUCUAAAUACAGUGUGAGAAAGAAGUGACUUGUAGUUAUCACUCAAGGUUAUUUUCCAAUACAUAGUGCAUUAGAACGAUAAUUUUUAAAACAUGAAGAACAGCAUCCUCUAGCACAAUUUUUGAAUUGUGCACCGUGGAACCCUAGUUCAGCAGGGCUCUAUGUAUAAGUGUUACAUGCAUAUGUGAAAAGGGUUUGUAAUCGAGUAAGUCUGAGAAAUAAGCAGUUAAACAUAUCUUUACCUUAGAAUGCCUACAAUCCUUUAAAAUGCUAUCGUGCGUUUUGAAUUUUAAAGACAGUAGCUCUUUAUGCAGCAUUGCUUUCUGUCCCCCUGUUUUGGUUUCGUUUUGUGUUUUUUGUAUCAAAUCCGGGACUAGAGUUGCAUAAAGCAAGCUUUAGGGAACUCUGUGUUGGAAGCAUUCUGUGGACUCUUGGAUUUCUUUGUUAAGACCCUUGCAGAAAUGAAGGUUUACAGUGUACAUUUUUGUCAAAGCAGAUGGGUGCUUUCCACUGAAAGGUGUUUCCAAGCAUGACCUUGAAGAUAAUAGAGGAAGAAAGUCGGAAUAUUAGGCUGACAGAUACUUUAAAGUAGGGCAUAACAGAUGCCAUAAAAAGCAUUCUGCAAGUUGAAAGUAGGAGUUAAAAUGUGUGUUAGAUGGAAGAUACUGGAGUAGAGUCUUUGAAUAUUUAUAGCACAAUCGUGCCAGUAUCUGACCAGCUUCUCCCCAGUUCCAGGGAGAAAUGGGACAGAAUCCACCUCACAUAUGAGAUUGCUUCUCUUUCAGUUUUCCUAUGUAAAAAGGAGGAAGUAUGGCUAAGUUUACAAAGGUAAGCUUCAGGAUAAGACUUGAGCUCACAGCCUUCCCUUUAAUCUUCUGGGACAGGGACCCUCAAGAAAUACUCCAGACCUCCACGAGCAUGAGUGAGGAGUUCCAGCAAGGAGGAUUGAAGGAGAUAGCUGUUGGAUUAAUUUUAAGAAGCCUCUGCUGACAUGUCUCAUAAAGUAUAUAGAGAGAGCAAAGGCAUAGGCUAUACAGAAUUCUCUGGGUCAAAAAAAGAAAUCUGGGGCCAGCCGAGUGGCGCAUUGGUUAAGAGCUGGCUUGGGAUGCCA